AGUGAACGCUGGCGGUAGGCCUAACACAUGCCAGUCGAACGGCCGCACAGUAAGAGCUUGCUCUUACGGGUGGCGAGUGGCGGACGGGUGAGGAAUACAUCGGAAUCUACUUUUUCGUGGGGGAUAACGUAGGGAAACUUACGCUAAUACCGCAUACGACCUACGGGUGAAAGCAGGGGAUCUUCGGACCUUGCGCGAUUGAAUGAGCCGAUGUCGGAUUAGCUAGUUGGCGGGGUAAAGGCCCACCAAGGCGACGAUCCGUAGCUGGUCUGAGAGGAUGAUCAGCGACACUGGAACUGAGACACGGUCCAGACUCCUACGGGAGGCAGCAGUGGGGAAUAUUGGACAAUGGGCGCAAGCCUGAUCCAGCCAUACCGCGUGGGUGAAGAAGGCCUUCGGGUUGUAAAGCCCUUUUGUUGGGAAAGAAAAGCAGCAGGUUAAUACCCCGCUGUUCUGACGGUACCCAAAGAAUAAGCACCGGCUAACUUCGUG
rnacentral:rRNA from 1 species